rfam:Triticum aestivum genome assembly, contig: Triticum_aestivum_CS42_TGACv1_scaffold_642785_T_1BL-0.245758_1BS-0.202044
UUGUUACUCCCUUCGUUUGGAAUUACUUGUCACAAAAAUGGAUAAAAAUGGAUGUAUCUACAACUAAAAUACAUCUAGAUACAUUCAUUUCUUGGACGAGUAAUCCCGAACAGAGGGAGUACAUU